rnacentral:lncRNA from 1 species
GGACUCAUGAUUGAGGGACUGUAUCAUACGUUAACUACAUCUAGAGAUUCAUCAUCUUUUAUUUUAUUGAGUUGCUACUACAUACUGCUAGGUGUCACUGGUGGAUUGUGUGACCCACGAGCAUCAUCUUGAUGAUCGAUGAUCUUUAGUGGGCAGAGUUAGAACGGCUCCAACCUAUUCAAAAGAGUUUCAAUGAUAUUGUGAUAGGAAUCAUAAUAUAACUC